rnacentral:lncRNA from 1 species
CCUAUCCAUUGGCAUCCUCCAUGUUCAAGCCAACUGGAGGCUCUUGGUGGGGUUAAGCCCUACCUCUCUCAGCAUUUUGGGCAACAUCAUGCUCAAAGAACAGACUACAAAGACUUUGAUACCGUGACUGGAGCAGUGCUUGAGGAGCUUUGUACGCAGUGAGUAACUCUUCAUGUAAAGUGACUGUGUAAGACUGCCUGAAUGCCACUGUCUGCUGAGUCAACUUGAACACGGGACUGCAUAUGACAUGAAGAAAAUUCAAACCUCUUCCAUCGAAUGCCUGAAUGGAAACCAUUGGUAACUGAGGUGGCGUGCUGGAGUGGACACCCAUGUCGUUCCCAACCCUACCUGUGGUCAUUCUGAAACGUG